CCUACGGGAGGCAGCAGUGGGGAAUAUUGGGCAAUGGACGCAAGCCUGACCCAGCAACGCCGCGUGAGGGAAGAAGGCUUUCGGGUUGUAAACUUCUUUUGUCAGAGACGAAGAAAGUGACGGUACCUGACGAAUAAGCCACGGCUAACUACGUGCCAGCAGCCGCGGUAAUACGUAGGUGGCAAGCGUUAUCCGGAUUUAUUGGGUGUAAAGGGCGUGUAGGCGGGAAGGAAAGUCAGAUGUGAAAACUAUGGGCUCAACCCAUAGACUGCAUUUGAAACUGUAUUUCUUGAGUGCUGGAGAGGCAAUCGGAAUUCCGUGUGUAGCGGUGAAAUGCGUAGAUAUACGGAGGAACACCAGUGGCGAAGGCGGAUUGCUGGACAGUAACUGACGCUGAGGCGCGAAAGCGUGGGGAGCAAACAGGAUUAGAUACCCGUGUAGUC
rnacentral:rRNA from 1 species